CAGCAGCCGCGGGAAUACGGAGGGGGCUAGCGUUGUUCGGAAUUACUGGGCGUAAAGCGCACGUAGGCGGCUUGGUAAGUUAGAGGUGAAAGCCCGGAGCUCAACUCCGGAAUUGCCUUUAAGACUGCCGAGCUAGUAGGUGAGAGAGGUAAGUGGAAUUCCGAGUGUAGAGGUGAAAUUCGUAGAUAUUCGGAAGAACACCAGUGGCGAAGGCGGCUUACUGGCUCAUUCUAGACGCUGAGGUGCGAAAGCGUGGGGAGCAAACAGGAUUAGAUACCCGCGUAGUCCCUGUCUCUUAUAC
rnacentral:rRNA from 1 species